rnacentral:rRNA from 1 species
AUGACGGCAUUGUUGAAGAAGGAUACCAAAUUCAAAUGGACGGAAGAAUGUGAGGCAAGUUUUCAAGAGUUGAAGAAACGUUUGACUACAGCCCCAGUGCUGAUUCUGCCAGAUAUACGCAAGGAUUUCCAAGUGUACUGCGAUGCUUCACGAUCAGGACUUGGAGGUGUACUUAUGCAGGACGGAAGAGCUGUUUCGUAUGCAUCCCAACAGCUUCGACCGCAUGAGUUGAAUUAUGCUACCCAUGAUUUGGAGUUAGCAGCCGUAGUGCAUGCGCUCAAGACUUGGAGACAUUAUCUAUCAGAAACCGCUGCGAUGUGUACACGGAUCAUAAGAGUUUGA